ensembl:ribozyme RNaseP_nuc Nuclear RNase P
GUGGGAGGAAGCUCAUUGACGAGGUCACGUGCCGAGUGCUUGUCACUCUACCAAUCACCUUGGGGAAGGUCUGAGAGAAGAGCCAAUCGUUGCCCUUGCAGGGCAUCACCUGAAUGCGGGUGAGCGAGUGAACAGAAAGCGUGGGUCAAUGAGAGCAGGUGUAGCAGGAGAAGCCGGUCAGCGCGGUGGAUGCGUCUCUCUGGUGACUUGGAAGCGCUCGCGGCUGGCGAUUGAGUGCGAUGGAUGAGGUGGGGCAGAUCUCCACAACCUAAUUCAGACUACUCUCCCCCCAC